AAACUAAAACCCCUAAAAUAAAGAAAUUGUAAACGACAUCUUCACUGUAAAUAAAUCUCUUGUCGGCAACAUAACCUGUGUUUUGAAUCUAUUUUUUUGAUUUGCAAAAUUCAAGCGCACUUGACUCAUUUUCACGGGAAGACCCACCAAACAAAGUUACAAUCGAAGUUCUUUGGCGAUUUUGAAAUCAAAAUCUCCAAAUUCAGUAACGAUUACAAUAAACUCUCUUUUGAAUUCAGUAACGAGAUAUCUAACCAAGGAACUAUUUAUAACCACUUUCGAUUACGGGGGUGGAUUCUUCAUGAAACUGGAUGGAUUGAUAUGAAGCAGAUGGUAUGUUUUAUAUAUUCAUCAAAUGCCGUUUGGACCAAGAACAAUAAGGUAUGCACUACAACUCACCAUGUUGGAUAUCACACUUAUGAAGGAUGCAUCAUUGCUAGAUAUUGAGUGAUACUAUCAAUGGCGGCCAUCAAUACUAUUAAGGUGACUUUCUGGUUUGUUACUUUAGGUUUGAUGUGUUUGGUUGUGUAUGCCGUCUUCUUUGGUUAUUAUAGUAGUAAUAGAGCUGAUUGCGAUGAUAGGACUAAAAUAGAUCACCAUUUGUGUUAGGAUUAAUUAGUCGAAUAUUCUAUGUAAUCAACUAAAGAUUUUCAGUUAAUGUUUUGUUAUUUGUUUCCGUUUGAUAUGUUAUUAUAGAGGAUGUUUAAGGAUUUCAUUAAUCUAUUUUUAAAAAGUUUUGAAUGUUGAUUAUGGAGAUGAUAGAGUCCGAUUUUGUUACUUUGGGAAAGGAGUAAGUUUCAGAUUUUAAUAUUUUUGGUUUGGGAUUUGGAGUUUAAAUGUCAAAAAGAUUUGAUAUGGUAAGUAUUUAAUGUCGGUAAUACACAAUUGUUUUAUGAUCAAUUUGAAUAUUCUUUCUCCUAAUUGUAUUAUGAUUGGAAACUCUGAUAAUCCAUCCACGAUCCGAAUAAUGUUAGUUCGGGUCAUGUAA